UAUUACAACUUUGAGGACUAAUAUUACUAACUUUAUGACUCAUUUUACAACUUUAGGACAGAGUUGAUACAUGUCGACAUGCAUUAACACACCCUAUCCUUACUCAAAUUUGGAAAGUGAAAUGGUAAUCCACACUCUCUGUUUCCAUUUUUAGUUAACAUACUCAUACAAGAAAAAAGUUCAAAUCACUAAGGACAAAAUUUAAAUUACUAAAAAGAAAAACAUAAAGUGUGGAUUGUAAAAUGGGUA
rnacentral:lncRNA from 1 species